rnacentral:lncRNA from 1 species
UUUUUGGGAUUUUGCAUUGUUUCGGGUUCCGUAAACUUCCGAAGCACUUUCUAAUCAACUAAACUUUGAUUAAAUGAUUCUAAUGCCUAUAACUAAGUAUGAAUCACCAUAACAUGAAUUAAAACUUUACCUGAGCAUCGUGAUUCACGUUGUGAGCUAUUUUCUGAUUUCUUCGAAAUCUUGAAUUCUUCGAUCUUUGUCAAUUCGCUUCGAUCCUUCAAGA